AUAGAAGGAACAUAAAAGUGAGACUGAAAACUAGACAGUAACCUUCAAAAAUAACCUUCGUGUAUCCUUUACUCCAACAGUGUUGCAUUACCAUGAUCGAAGCGCUUGUAGUUAGCUUUCGAGAGACCAAGUGUCGUUAGCUCAAUUGGUAAAAAUCCUACGCGAAGUUUAGAGGUCGCCGGUUCGAGUGACGUUUGGGACGAAACUAAUAUUACAUGCUAUGGUUUCGGGCCUAGGGAAAUUAUGGGUUUUGGCUCAA
rnacentral:sRNA from 1 species